rnacentral:lncRNA from 1 species
UCCAAUGUGGGUUUCCUGUAUAGAUUGGAAGGGAUAAUGGGAUCUCUAUGGCGUCUGUGUGGGGUCUAUGCAGGGUUAUGGGGUCUCUAUGGGGUCUUGCAGUGUCUAAGGGGGGACGAGCGUGCAAAGGGGCGUGCAAAGGGCGUGCAAGACUGCAGGUGACAGGUUCAGUGUGGGUUUUUCAUACAGGUUGGAAGGGAUAAUGGGAUCUCUAUGGCGUCUGUGGGGGGUUAUGGGGUUCUAUGGGGUUUUGGGGUAUUUAAGGUGGGAUGAGCGUGCAAAGGGUCGUGCAAGGCGUGCAAGGGGCGUGCAAGACAGCAGGUGACGGGUUCAGUGUGGGUUUCCUGUAUAGAUUGGAAGGGAUAAUGGGAUCUUUAUGGGGUCUGUGUGGGGUCUGUGUGGGGUUAUGGGGUCUCGAUGGGGUUUGGGGGUAUGUAAAGUGGGACGAGCGUGCAAAGGGGCGUGCAAGGCGUGCAAGAGGCGUGCGAGAAUGAAAUAUUCAGGGAGUCCAGGAGGAUUUUCCUUAUGGGUUGGAAGGGAUAAUGGGGUCUCUAUGGGGUCUAUGCGGGGUGAUGGGGUCUCUAUGGGGUCUUGGGGUGUCUAAGGGGGGACGAGUGUGCAAAGGGGCGUGCAAGGCAUGCAAGGGGCGUGCAAGAAUACAAGUUCUUUGGUUUCAGUGUGGGUUUCCUGUAUAAAUAGGAAGAGAUUAUGGGGUUUCUAUGGGGUCUAUGUGGGGUUAUGGGGUCUCGAUGGGGUCUUGGGGUGCAUAAGUGGGGAUGAGAGUGCAAAGGGGCGUGCAAGGCGUGCAAAGGGGCGUGCGAGAAUGAAAUAUUCAGGGAGUCCAGGAGAAUUUUCCUUACGGGUUGGAAGGGAUAAUGGGGUCUCUAUGGGGUCUAUGCGGGGUGAUGGGGUCUCUAUGAUGUCUUGGGGUGUCUGUGGUGGGACAAGCGUGCAAAGGGGCGUGCAAGGCGUGCAAAGGGGCGUGCAAGAAUACAAGUUCUAUGGGUUCAGUGUGGGUUUCCCGUAUAGAUAGGAGGAGAUUAUGGGGUCUCUAUGGGGUCUAUGCGGGGUUAUGGGUUUCUAUGGGGUUUGGGGGUAUGUAAAGUGGGACGAGCGUGCAAAGGGGCGUGCAAGGCGUGCAAAGGGGCGUGCAAGACAGCAAGUUACAGGAAUUCAAUGUGGGUUUCCUGUAUAGAUUGCAAGCGAUAAUGGGGUCUGUACGGGGUCUAUGUGGGGUGAUGGGGUCUCGAUGGGGUCUCGGGGUGCAUAAGUGGGGAUGAGCGUGCAAAGGGGCGUGCAAGGCGUGCAAAGGGGCGUGCAAGAAUACAAGUUGUAUGGUUUCAAUGUGGGUUUCCUGUAUAGAUUGCAAGGGAUAAUGGGGUCUGCACGGGUUCUAUGCGGGGUUAUGGGGUCUCUAUGGGGUUUGGGGGUAUGUAAGGUGGGAUGAGCGUGCAAAGGGGCGUGCAAGGCGUGCAAAGGGGCGUGCAAGAAUACAAGUUCUAUGGGUUCAGUGUCGGUUUCCCGUAUAGAUAGGAAGAGAUUAUGGGGUCUCUAUGGGGUCUAUGCGGGGUUAUGGGGUUCUAUGGGGUUUGGGGGUAUGUAAGGUGGGACGAGCGUGCAAAGGGGCGUGCAAGACGUGCAAGGGGCGUGCAAGACAGCAAGUUUCAGGAAUUCAAUGUGGGUUUCCUGUAUAGAUUGCAAGGGAUAAUGGGGUUUCUAUGGGGUCUGUGUGGGGUUAUGGGGCCUUGAUGAGAUUAUGGGGUGUCUAUGGGGGAACGAGCGUGCAAAGGGGCGUGCAAGGCGUGCAAGGGGCGUGCAAAAAUGAAGUAAACAGGGAGUCCAGGAGGAUUUUCCUGACGCGUUGGAAGGGAUAAUGGGGUCUCUAUGGGGUCUAUGCGGGGUGAUGGGGUCUCGAUGGGGUCUCGGGGUGCAUAAGUGGGGAUGAGCGUGCAAAGGGGCGUGCAAGGCGUGCAAAGGGGUGUGCAAGAAUACAACUUGUAUGGUUUCAAU